rnacentral:lncRNA from 10 species
CUCAACCACUCUUGCUUUGCAUUUGAGAAUUUAAGUCACUUGACCAAAGUCAGACAACAGUGAUUAUAUUACUACAGUGAUUCUGGAGUGUUCUCAACAAAUAAUAACCUCAGAAACAAGUAGGCACUUGGAGACAUUGGGCUGUGGAUUCAGGUUGCCUAGGUUUGAAUCCUAGUCCCAACAUUUACUAAGGCUCUCUGAUAGUGGGCACAUUAUUUAACUUCCUCAGACCUGUUUCCCCAUCUACAAAAUUGGAUUACCUAUGCUCCAAGGUUUGUGAUCUAGAAUUCAACUAAUAAAUUCAGGCAAAUUAUUCCAAUUAUAUUAAGCACUAGUACUCAAAGCUGACAUUUGAGGCUCAAAUGGAGUGUCUUCUUAGCUUUUGUCUCCUGUCAUUUCAGCCCUAAGCCGAAAUCCAAAAAUAAUGGGAAAAUUCUAUGCCCUGAUAUAACACAGAAUUAUAAAGGAAGCUACAAUAUCCCAUACUCCUUGCUUCAUACUCUAGAAUCCAUUUAAAUGAGGUUUAAAAUUGUUCCGGUUGAGUCAUUCCUUCCAGUCAAGGCAUAUUCUAUCUGAAGGACUCAAAUUAAUUAGCUACAGUUAACAGAUUAUUAAGUCAACUGGCUUCUACGGAGAUGGUGAGAGAGGCCAUGUGGGUACACCAUGAGAAGUCUGUCAUCUACAGGAAAGGAAGAGAGCCCUCCCAGGAAACUGACUUUGCCAGACUUUGACCUGGAACGUCUAUUCUCCAGAACUGGCUCCUUCUUCAUAGGCUGGGGGUGUAUACAAAGAGGAUAAUGGCAUUAAACCAGCAAGGAAGUGUUGCUCUCCAGGAUAGAAUGUACGAUUAGUAGAUGAGAAACUGAGACUCAUGGAGCCUCAACAUGAAGAUGAUGAAAAUGGAGACCUUCAUCGUGAUCCACUUCUAAUUAAUGAAUAGGAGGCUUGGGCCGAACUGGGUGAUCAGACAUCAUACACAGAGAAGGAGCAAGAGAGAGAUUACACAGAGGAGGAACAAGGUGUGCAGCGGACAGCCAGUGCCAAGACCUCAGACACAUGACAAGCAAUAGUAGCCAGAAUCCUGGAGUGAAUAGACAUGGAGAAGAGCUGCCUUUUCUUCUCAACUGACAAGUCACGUGGAGGAAAUAAAUCCCUUGAGGACAGUGAAGAAAUAACUUUGAGAUCACCUUCCCAUCCUUCCGAUUUCUUCAAUGAGAGCUUAAAUGGAUUUUCAAAAAAUCAGAGAGCUUGGACAAAAAGUUGAAACAAGUUCAUAUCCUAAGCAUGAUGAAUAAGCCAUGGCAGCUUACACAGACUUGAAGGCCAACCACCUAUGGGCUAGCACAAAGGAGUUCAGCCUUUUUUGAAGUGGGUGGUUUGACCUCUCUUUAUUGUGGAAGCAAAGCAAAUGGCCCCAAACCAUCUGGAUCUGCUGUUAUCACUAGAGGAAUUAUUGCCCAGAAUGUGGACCAAAGGUUAGAAGACUCCACAUUGGAAUCCUGGGUCCGCCGUUAAAUAAUGAGGAACAAGCACUACCUCAUAGAGAAAUGGAAACUCCAAAAGAUUAAGCAAGAAGCCCAUAGGAACACAAUUAGUAGAGCACUGAAUAAUAUUUCACUGUCCUGAUGUACCAAGUUUAUCCAUUCACCUACUGAAGGACAUCUUGGUUGUUCUAUGUUUUGGCAAGUAUGAAUAAAGCUGCUAUAAAUGUU